rnacentral:rRNA from 1 species
GUCCUAGCCGUAAACGAUGCAUACUAGAAGUAGGAGGGCUCAACCCUUUCUGUUUCGGAGCUAACGCGUUAAGUAUGCCACCUGGGGAGUACGCUCGCAAGGGUGAAACUCAAAAGAAUUGACGGGGGCCCCGCACAAGCAGUGGAGCAUGUGGUUUAAUUCGAUGCAACGCGAAGAACCUUACCUGGGCUCGAAAUGUAGAGGACUAUGCAAGAGAUUGCAUAUCCCGAAAGGGUCUCUAUAUAGGUGCUGCAUGGCUGUCGU